AGUGGCGAACGGGUGAGUAACACGUGAGUAACCUGCCCUUGACUCUGGGAUAACUGCUAGAAAUGGUAGCUAAUACCGGAUACGACCCUCGGCGGCAUCGCCAGGGGGUGGAAAGAAUUUCGGUCAAGGAUGGACUCGCGGCCUAUCAGCUAGUUGGUGAGGUAACGGCUCACCAAGGCGACGACGGGUAGCCGGCCUGAGAGGGUGACCGGCCACACUGGGACUGAGACACGGCCCAGACUCCUACGGGAGGCAGCAGUGGGGAAUAUUGCACAAUGGGCGCAAGCCUGAUGCAGCAACGCCGCGUGAGGGAUGACGGCCUUCGGGUUGUAAACCUCUUUUAGUAGGGAAGAAGCGAAAGUGACGGUACCUGCAGAAAAAGCACCGGCUAACUACGUGCCAGCAGCCGCGGUAAUACGUAGGGUGCAAGCGUUGUCCGGAAUUAUUGGGCGUAAAGAGCUCGUAGGCGGUUUGUCGCGUCUGCUGUGAAAUCCCGAGGCUCAACCUCGGGCCUGCAGUGGGUACGGGCAAACUAGAGUGUGGUAGGGGAGAUUGGAACUCCAGGUGUAGCGGUGGAAUGCGCAGAUAUCAGGAAGAACACCGAUGGCGAAGGCAGAUCUCUGGGCCAUUACUGACGCUGAGGAGCGAAAGCGUGGGGAGCGAACAGGAUUAGAUACCCUGGUAGUCCACGCCGUAAACG
rnacentral:rRNA from 1 species